UGGGGAAUAUUGGACAAUGGGCGCAAGCCUGAUCCAGCAAUGCCGCGUGUGUGAAGAAGGCCUUCGGGUUGUAAAGCACUUUUAUCGGGAGCGAAAUACUACUGGCUAAUAACCGGUGGGGCUGACGGUACCCGAGGAAUAAGCACCGGCUAACUUCGUGCCAGCAGCCGCGGUAAUACGAAGGGUGCAAGCGUUAAUCGGAAUUACUGGGCGUAAAGGGUGCGUAGGCGGUUUGUUAAGUCUGUCGUGAAAUCCCCGGGCUCAACCUGGGAAUGGCGAUGGAUACUGGCAAGCUAGAGUGUGUCAGAGGAUGGUGGAAUUUCCGGUGUAGCGGUGAAAUGCGUAGAGAUCGGAAGGAACAUCAGUGGCGAAGGCGGCCAUCUGGGACAACACUGACGCUGAAGCACGAAAGCGUGGGGAGCAAACAGGAUUAGAUACCCUGGUAGUCCACGCCCUAAACGAUGCGAACUGGAUGUUGGUCUCAACUCGGAGAUCAGUGUCGAAGCUAACGCGUUAAGUUCGCCGCCUGGGGAGUACGGUCGCAAGACUG
rnacentral:rRNA from 1 species